GAAGCGCCAAACCGGAUGGUAACCAUUUUUUGGAGUGCGAUAUCGCUACAUUAGUUGAAGAGCAAUAAGACUCUUACCUUUUUGAUAAUUAUACAAAGUUGGAUUCCGUUUUGAGUUGAGCUUAAGUAUUUCGGAUAUUGUUUUAUGAAUAUUUGAUUAAAAUUGUAUUUAGAUUCGUGAAUGAUACAGGUAAACUAGCCGUUCAUACAAGCGAACCGUAAUAUCUACGCUUAAGAAUAGCGAGCGUUGUUGAGGUAAAAGGAAUCCCGCGUCAACGUGGGUGCGAGUCUGGGCUACCGACACGGCCACUACCAAUGCUCAUCGAUCUGCAGUGCUAGAGCAAACGCGGUGAAGGUC